GAUGAAGAACGCAGCGAAAUGCGAUACUUGGUGUGAAUUGCAGAAUCCCGUGAACCAUCGAGUCUUUGAACGCAAGUUGCGCCCGAAGCCAUUAGGCCGAGGGCACGCCUGCCUGGGCGUCACACGUCGUUGCCCCCCCAUCUACUCCUUCGGGAUUGCGGGGGGCGGAUGAUGGCCUCCCGUGCGCCUCGUCGCGCGGUUGGCCUAAAUGCCAAGUCCUCGGCGACGCACGCCACGACAAUCGGUGGUUGCGAAACCUCGGUUGCCCGUCGUGUGCGGUCGUCGCGCAUCGAGGGCUCGAAAAAAUUGCCGGGCUUCGGCUCGACUUUCAACGCGACCCCAGGUCAGGCGGGGUUACCCGCUGAAUUUAAGCAUAUCAAUAAGCGGAGGA
rnacentral:misc_RNA from 1 species